AAUAAGAUCUACCUUGCAUAUAGUGUUUCCUGUACAAUACAUGGUUGUUUUGCAUUUGUUGAUUUUAGCUCUUAUUUUGGCUUGUUGGAGAUGGACAGAGAUAGGGAGACAAGAGGGGGAAGUCUUUUGAGGGAGAUGAAUUUACUGCUUUUGAACUGGGGAACAGUCUGCCAUUUGGCGUGUUGAUGUCAUUUUUCUUUUAGAAGUUGCAUAAUUUACGUAGGGUAUGUGCCCGAUAAACUCCCGCCG
rnacentral:misc_RNA from 1 species